AUUGAACGCUGGCGGCAUGCUUUACACAUGCAAGUCGAACGGUAACAGGUUAAGCUGACGAGUGGCGAACGGGUGAGUAAUGCAUCGGAACGUGCCCGAUCGUGGGGGAUAACGCAGCGAAAGCUGCGCUAAUACCGCAUACGAUCUGAGGAUGAAAGCGGGGGACCGUAAGGCCUCGCGCGAUCGGAGCGGCCGAUGUCAGAUUAGGUAGGUGGUGGGGUAAAGGCUCACCAAGCAAACGAUCUGUAGCUGGUCUGAGAGGACGACCAGCCACACUGGGACUGAGACACGGCCCAUACUCCUACGGGAGGCAGCAGUGGGGAAUUUUGGACAAUGGGCGAAAGCCUGAUCCAGCAAUGCCGCGUGCAGGAAGAAGGCCUUCGGGUUGUAAACUGCUUUUGUACGGAGCGAAAAGGUUCUCUCUAAUACAGAGGGCUCAUGACGGUACCGUAAGAAUAAGCACCGGCUAACUACGUGCCAGCCGCCGCCGUAACAC
rnacentral:rRNA from 1 species